ensembl:snRNA U1 U1 spliceosomal RNA
AUGCUUCCCUGGCAGGGGAAACGCCACGAUUGGAAGGAGGUUUUCUCAGGGCAAGGCUCAUGUAUUCCACUCCAGAUGUGCUCAGCUCUGCGAUUAUCUCCAAUGUGGGAAACUUGAUUGCGUCAUUUAUGAUGAUUGGAGACUGGGAAGAACCAGGAUCUCCAC